GCCUCCAGCCACUGUAAUCGGGUGUCCAUUCCACCAUGCCAACCGAGUGCUUCUCGCUGAGGUCACAAAGAACUCCUUGUUGCUAAAUCCAAUGGACACUCUUCAGUUUCUCCCUCAGCCUCUCAGCAGUAGACGACACUGCUGACCAAUCCCUUCGUGAGUACCUUCCUGCCCUGGAGCUGAAAAGAAAAAUGCUCUGGUGACUAAAUCUGGAAGGGCCGAGGGGCAUAAAAAUUUCAUUUCACAGAUUAUAUGAAUCUCUUUAUAGAGGAUUAUAACUCACGGCUGGAAGAAGCUUUAGGGCCUUGUUAUUCAAAAUGUGGUCCACCCAUCAGCAUCUGCAUCACCUGGAAGUUUGGGAGAAAUGCAGAAUCUAGGGCCCAACUCCAGGCCUACUAAAUCAGAAUGUGUAUUUUAACAACCUCUGCCUCCCUACUUGUGUGCUGUGCCUGCCCCCUGCCCUCAUCACUUCCAUGGGGCUCAGCUCUCCCAUGGCAGCCCUGCAGAGAGCUCAAGUAAGGUUACCUUCAAUCCGCAAAGACAAAUUACAAUAUGAUGCUUCUCUCAUCAGUAGCUUUUGUCUGCUCCUACCUGCAACAUGUGUUAACUCAGGUAUUAAGAUCUCUUUAAGAUACGCUUUUAUGAUACAAACUUAAUUUUCAAAUCAUAUUACCGAAGAGCAGUGAAUGUUCAAAACGUGACAAGUUGGCUUCCAGUUUAAAAUGGAAUGUGCUUCAGUUCAACCUCUCCUCGUUUUAUAUAGCCAGUAUCUCACCCAGAUGAACCCACAUAAAAAUGAUGAAUCCACCAUCAAUUCAAGUGACACUGAAAUGAAGCCUGAGCGGCAGGAGGAAUCUGAGAAGGAAUGUCAUUAAGUGACAAUCUUAUGAAACUUGAUGGACGAUCCCCCUGUCAGUAGCUAUCAAAGCUUUGCUUCCUGACAUGGAAGAUCUUGCUGGAGGUUGAGAGAGGCUUUGCAUACUCUUUGGUUCAAGAACUCAGGACAGUUACUAGCCAGAAAAUUGGGCCGCCAGUUCUCAGCUGUGAAGGUUAAAAAUAAAACGAUAAGCAGUGGGAAGCAAAGGAAGAAGGGGAAGGAAAGAAAGGAGACAAAGGUAGCAAUACCAGCGUUAUUAAAAGCAAAAAUAAUUUGUCAGGAGAACAAGGAUCAUUUUAUAUUGAUGCAAGAUAUAAUCCACAAUGAAGAUGUAAAAUUCAUGAGCCUUCUUAAAAGAAAUAAAGAAAAAAGUUUCUGGAAUAGUAAAGAGAAAAUGACAAAUAAAAUUGUAAGAGGCAUUAACACAUUUUUCUCAAGAUUUCGGAGAGAUUGUAAAGUAAAUAAGAUUGAAUCAGUAGGUAGAUAUUGGACUUUGUAUUUUACAAGCAGAGACUAGACCUUUGUCACACAUCCGUGGAACUUUUGCAGCAGCUGGUCAUAUACUUGGACGCAAAAGGAAUUUUACUAUGUAAUAAAAAUGAGAAAAUGUAGAAAACAUAUUUAUAUAAUCAUAACUAACAUACACUAAGAAAAGUUUAAACAAACAAAACUCUUCAAUCUAUGAAUUAUCUAACAAUUUCCAAAAUAGUCUGAGAAUAUUUAUGUUUUCCAUAAUGAAUUCCAAAGUUCAUUUAUAAUCUUUAGGUGAAUAUUCAUUGCAACUCCCUUUGUAACAAUAAAAUGGUGGAAAUAACCCAAAUGUUUGCCAAUGGGGGACUCAGACACACAUCGAUGGAGAAGUAUGCAGCUGUAAAUAAGGAGCAUCUCUAUAUGCUGCUAUUGAUAUAUACUCUGUAGGAUCUAUUGUUACCCGAAAAAAACAAGAUGAAAGAAAAUAUAUAAUAUUCCACUUUUUAUCCCCCAAAUGUGGCAGGGAUACGAAUAUAUAUUUGCUUAUACUUGAAAUCAUAAAAACACAAGGGAAUAAUUUAAAAAAAAACUGAAAAAAAAUGGUUACCUAUACUGGGAAUAGGGUGAAGGAAACACAGAUUAAAAACUACACUUUGGAUUAUCCCUUGUUUUGGGAAUUUGAUUUUGGAAACAUGUAAAGAUUUUAUAUAAUUAUAAAAGUAAAAUUAAAUUUCAAAAGUAAUUCCUAAAAACAGAAAGUAAAAUAAAGAUUACUGUGUUGAGUUAGUAGCUUAACUAUACAGAGAAAAAUUAUUUCAAGUGGCUUAAAAAAUAGUACUUUAACGUGUAAACACUUCGGGAUAUACCCAAGGGAUAAAAAGUAUUGCAAGUACACCUUAAUAUGAUAUAUAUGAUACAUAUAUAGUUUAUAUACAAUAUAAUAUAUAUUACAUAUAUAUAUUACAUAUAUACACACACACAUACCUACCUACACACACAUUUUUUUUUUCUUUGCCAGAAUGCUGGAAUUUCUGGGAUAUUCUGAUGAUUCAGUAGAACAGACUAUGGGAUAGAGUCCUGGAAAGUAGGACUUAGAAAAUCUAAGAUUUUUAUAUAAUAUAUAUAAGAUUGGGAAUGCCGAAUUCUCCAAAGGCUAUGUAUUACUGAAAUCUGCAAGGUGACUGCCUUUACUGGGACCCAAACCCGAUAAGACUAAAACUUUAUUGGAAAAAUCCUUUAAGUAAAAGACUAGUUUAUUAAGUGGAUGUGUAAGGUGUAUGUGAAGUCUUCAAAGCCUGGAAAUAGAAAGUUGCAAGCAAUUCCUACAGAAUUUUUUUGUCUUAAAAAAUAUAUAGAUAUAAAUGUAUCUCUCUCUUUAGUCCCUAAAACAAUCACUUCCAGGAAUUCACACUAUUGCUGAGAUUUGCUCUCUUGCAAGGUUUUCUAAUGGUAUAAUAGUCCUUUUUUUUUUUUAAAGAUUUUAUUUAUUUGACACAGAGAGAUAGCGAGAGCAGGAACACAAGCAGGGGGAAUGGGAGAGGGAGAAGCAGGCUUCCCGCGGAGCAGGGAGCCCGAUGUGGGGCUCGAUCCCAGGACCCUGGGAUCAUGACCUGAGCCGAAGGCAGACGCUUAACGACUGAGCCACCCAGGCGCCCCAAUAGUCCUUAUUUUUGAACUAUCAGGUAGAAAAAAGUCAUUUAAUUUGACAAUAAGAUAAAAUUUUGAUUCUAAGAAGACUUAUUAGAAGAUUCCGAAAUGUGCACCGGAAUAUUUUUGAAAUGUCCUUCAAAUAGGUAAAAUUUAAACUGGAAAGAGUAAAAAGUUAAACAUUUCCUAUUUAUAAAAUGUCAAACUAUUUUUCCUCAUCUGGUUAAAAAGUUGGUACCAAAGUCACUAAAUAGGUUCAUAUAGUAAACAAUUAAUCUUUUGUUGGAUUCAUUCCUAGUUCUAUUUCAGGAACUCACCUUUGUUUUCCUCAUUGGUUUCCACCUCUAUGUAACUUAUGUUAUCAAGCUAUCUUUCAUAAAAUCUUCUAAGUGGCCUCUUAUUCUUUAUGGACUAUGGUGCGGGAAUAACUAACUCACUAGUUAAAUUUAAAAACUACAACAAACUAGGGGCACCCGAGGGGCUCAGUCGGUUAAGCCUUUGCUUUGGGCUCAGUCAUGAUCCUGGAGUCCUGGGAUGAGUCCC